CCUACGGGUGGCAGCAGUGAGGAAUAUUGGUCAAUGGCCGUAAGGCUGAACCAGCCAAGUCGCGUGAAGGAAGAAGGAUCUAUGGUUUGUAAACUUCUUUUAUAGGGGAAUAAAGGUAUCCACGUGUGGAUAUUUGCAUGUACCCUAUGAAUAAGCAUCGGCUAACCCCGUGCCAGCAGCCGCGGUAAUACGGAGGAUGCGGGCGUUUUCCGGAUUUAUUGGGGUUAAAGGGUGCGUAAGUUGUUAUUUAAGUCAGCGGUGAAAGUUUGUGGCUCAACCAUAAAAGUGACGUUGAAACUGGAGGACUUGAGUGGGUGUGAGGUAGGCGGAAUGCGUGGUGUAGCGGUGAAAUGCAUAGAUAUCACGCAGAACUCCGAUUGCGAAGGCAGCAUACUGAGGCAUAACUGACACUGAAGCACGAAAGCGUGGGGAUCGAACAGGAUUAGAUACCCGAGUAGUC
rnacentral:rRNA from 1 species